AUGGUUGCUGACCUCGACUGCGACGCCGCGCCCCUUGCCGCCUACUCCCCCUACGACGGGUACCGGCUGCACGUCAUCAACCUUGACCCCUCGUCGGUGACCUCCGGUGGGUGGCUGGAGGGCACCUCGCUCGUUGAGAAGUACACCAUAUCGGACGAUGCAUACGACGAGCUCGGCACAAACAUCCGGAAGUUCAAAGAGAAGAUGGUGUCGAAAAACCCUGUAUCGGAUGAUAAGCAAUCAGACAAUCAGAUGGAGGAAUUGUGUGCUAACAUCAAGGACAGUUCAUUUGCUUUACACAUGUUUAUCAGAUUGAGUUUUUCCAUAUGA
rnacentral:rRNA from 1 species